GGUGAAGGAGAGAAGUAUGUCAAGGCAGUGUUCUCCCUAGCUAGUAAAAUUGCUCCUAGUGUUGUUUUUGUUGAUGAGGUGGAUAGCAUGCUAGGAAGACGUGAAAAUCCUGGAGAACACGAGGCAAUGCGUAAAAUGAAGAACGAGUUCAUGGUGAACUGGGAUGGUCUACGUACAAAGGAUAAAGAACGGGUAUUAGUGCUUGCUGCUACAAACAGGCCUUUUGACCUUGAUGAGGCUGUUAUUAGGAGGCUUCCCCGGAGAUUAAUGGUCAACUUGCCAGAUGCACCUAACAGAGAGAAAAUUUUGAGGGUUAUCCUAGCCAAAGAGGAAUUGGCCCCUGAUGUUGAUUUGGAAGCAGUUGCAAACAUGACAGAUGGUUACUCUGGAAGUGAUCUAAAGAAUCUGUGUGUUACUGCUGCUCACUGUCCCAUUCGGGAAAUAUUGGAGAAAGAAAAGAAGGAGAG
rnacentral:misc_RNA from 1 species